UAUAUAUAUAUAUACACAUAUAUGUGUGUAUAUUGUAUAUAUAUAUAUAUAAAUCUAUAUUUAAGUUAAGAAACAGAAUACAGGCUGAGCAUCCUUAAUCUAAAAAUGUGAAAUCUGACAUAUGCUGACAAUCAAAAUAUUUUUAUUUUGAAGCAUUUCAGAUUUUUUAUUUUCAAAUUGGGGAUAUUCAAACAGGAACGUUUAUGCAAAUCUUCCAAAAUCUGAAAAAAACUCAAAUCUGAAACAUUUCUGGUCCUAAGCAUUUUAGAAAUGGAUAACCAUAAUAGACCUACAAUAAAACCUGUGAUAAAAUGAACACCAGUGAGUGAAUCCCUCUUUCUACCUAAGACCAUCAAUCCAAAUAUCUCCAAAUCUACCAAUCUUUCCUUAUUUUAAUUUUUAAUUCCUACUUCCCUCCCAGAGAAGAAUUUUGGUUUUGUCAUGUCCUUUAAAAAAGAAAAAAAAAGUUUAUUUCUAUAGUUUGUAAACAAUUAGAAAAGUGGAGCUCAAAGCCUCCAAAACAAAGUAAUUAUAAGGUGACGUAAAUGUUAAAUAUUCCUGAUUUGAUCACUACACACUGGAUGCAUGUAUUGAAUUAUCACAAUGAAUCCCAUAAAUGUGUUCAAUUAAAAUAAUAAAAAUAAAUAAUUGCAGUGUGAAAAUGUUUUAUCAUUUAUGAUACUUAUGUAAGCAGUACAGUAUUUAGUUUUAGUGUUGAGCUACCUAAAAGGCCCCACAGUGACAUCAUAUUAUUUGUAUCAGGGUUUUCUCAGGAAGGCAGAACCCAUGUGAGUGAUGUAAAAUAACGGUUCAUUUUAUCACAGGUUUUAUUGUGGGUCUAUUAUGGGUAUCCCUUUUCUAAAAUGCUUGGGACCAGAAUGUUUCAGAAUUAAGAGUUUUUCAGAUUUUGGAAGAUUUGCAUAAACUUUCGUGUUUGAGUAUCCCCAGUCUGAAAAUCCAAAAUCCA
rnacentral:lncRNA from 1 species